GACGAACGCUGGCGGCGCGCUUAACACAUGCAAGUCGAACGGAAAGGCCUGCUUUCCCUUGUGGAUUGCGGGUACUCGAGUGGCGAACGGGUGAGUAACACGUGAGUGAUCUGCCCCCAACUUGGGUAUAAGCCUGGGAAACUGGGUCUAAUUCCCGAUAGGACUGCAGGGUGGUGCCUGUGGUGGAAAACGAUUUUCUAGUGGUUGGGGAUGAGCUCGCGGCCUAUCAGCUUGUUGGUGGGGUAAUGGCCUACCAAGGCGGCGACGGGUAGCCGGCCUGAGAGGGUGGACGGCCACAUUGGGACUGAGAUACGGCCCAGACUCCGACGCGAGGCAGCAGUGGGGAAUAUUGCACGAUGGGCGGAAGCCUGAUGCAGCGACGCCGCGUGGGGGAUGACGGCCUUCGGGUUGUAAACUCCUUUCGACCGCGAGGAAGCCACCUGGUUGGAAGGGUGGUGACGGUAGUGGUAGAAGAAGCACCGGCUAACUACGUG
rnacentral:rRNA from 1 species